GGGCCAAGCAAGGGUCAGACCAAGACGCCAGAAUCUCAUCCUCUGUCCCUGUCCCACAAAGGCUGUGCUGCCAGGACGGGGCUGGAACGGGGACGAAGAAGCAAGAACUCGGAGUGCUGGGCCGUGGGAGGUGGCAGGAGUUUGCCCUCACCAAAGGAUGUCAUGUUGGAGAAGAGCACCUGCCCCAAACCCCACGGAGGGUGGAACAGCCUCCCGGGAUGGAGCAAGAGGCGAAUCAAUACCCGAAGCCCAGGCUGGAGGCGCCGGGAAGCCCGGGACGAGGUUGCUCCGGGAUCACCAACCUCACACUGGGUGGUUUGUUCCUGCAGAUUCAAGACUGUGGCACCAAUCCCUUGGGUGGGCAAAACCUUAGGUUUGGCCUCGUGCUGGGAUCCCAUCAGAGCUCUCCCAUCUCUCAUGUCUCUUAAUUCCUUAAGGAGCUCAGCUCUCCACCCUCUUUGCCGGCUCCUCACCACCUUCUCCUUUACCUUUUGGGUUUGUGCCGGCGAAAAGGGGGUGGUUUAAUGCGAUUAUUCCGGUAAAACCCCCUUAAGAGGAUUCCCAGGGCUUGGCUUCACAGCCCUGCAGGGGUUAUGGGCAGCAUGUGGAUGGGGAUGAGCUGGAUGUGGGAUAGUGGGAAGCCUGGGAGAGGCUUUGUAAGCUGAGCCAAACCGUGGUGUCCCUGUGAGGGUGACCCUGGGAUCUGCAGCCCCCGGGGGUGCCACGUGCUGCCUUUCCCUGGGACAGGAUGGACAUUUCCCGUGCUGUGGAUCCUGCUCAUCCUGGAGAGAGGUGGAUGGAAUGGGCAGCAGAAACACAGAGAAGAGGGAUGGAGGGCUGGGAGAGCAGGAUUCAUCUGGGAGCUCCCCUCUGGAUCAGAAGAGUAACAUUUCCCCCCAAGGACAUGAACAACCAGAACUCCGUGGUGCACCAGAUAUGUAGAAUGACACGAGUUAUUUUCCUUUUGUGUGCAUAUAUAGUUAAACUAUAUAACAGGAUUCACUGGGUCAA